rnacentral:misc_RNA from 1 species
GAAACGCGAUAGUUAAUGUGAAUUGCAGAAUUCAGUGAAUCAUCGAGUCUUUGAACGCACAUUGCGCCAAUAGGUAUUCCUUUGGGCAUGUCUGUUUGAGCGUCAUUACAACCCUCAGCUAACCGCUGGUUUUGAACCUGAACGGGUGACACCGCGCCGGUUUUAAAGUUGUAAGCUCUGCUGGCCGCUCUGCCCAACCAGAACAUAGUAAGCACUACUUGUCCGGGUGAAGCUGAACGGUACGGCCUGAACAAAACCUACCCACUCUCAAGGUUUGACCUCAGAUCAGACAAGGAUACCCGCUGAACUUAAGC